CCUCCUCCGAUGUGAAUUUUUAAAAAGUCACAGAAAGAAGCGAUCGGACUUUUGCAACACCAAAACGAAACCCGAAAGCAAAGGAAAAACCUUAGCUAAGACUAUGUGAAGUAAUGGCGUGGAUUUCUGAACAAGAAAUAUUGUCUUCUGAAGUUCCUAAAGCAUCGAACACAAACGCGUAUGUUUCGGAGAUUAGKGCAAAAGCUGUAUCUGCA